rnacentral:misc_RNA from 1 species
GCAAACUUGGUCAUUUAGAGGAAGUAAAAGUCGUAACAAGGUUUCCGUAGGUGAACCUGCGGAAGGAUCAUUCAUAAUAAGUGUUAAUGGCACUUACAAAUCCAUUACCCACCUUGUGUGCAAUGUCGGGGAGAGAGAGAGAGAUCUCGCGGUUUCUCUCUCUCUUUCAUAUACAUACUACUUUUUUUUCAUUAUCAGUCUACAAUCUAUUUUAGAGGAUAAAAACUCGAAAAUACAACUUUCAACAACGGAUCUCUUGGCUCUCGCAUCGAUGAAGAACGCAGC